UGGGGAAUAUUGCACAAUGGGCGCAAGCCUGAUGCAGCCAUGCCGCGUGUAUGAAGAAGGCCUUCGGGUUGUAAAGUACUUUCAGUCGGGAGGAAGGUGUCAAGGUUAAUAACCUUGGCAAUUGACGUUACCGACAGAAGAAGCACCGGCUAACUCCGUGCUAGCAGCCGCGGUAAUACGGAGGGUGCAAGCGUUAAUCGGAAUUACUGGGCGUAAAGCGCACGCAGGCGGUUGAUUGAGUCAGAUGUGAAAUCCCCGGGCUUAACCCGGGAAUUGCAUCUGAUACUGGUCAGCUAGAGUCUUGUAGAGGGGGGUAGAAUUCCAUGUGUAGCGGUGAAAUGCGUAGAGAUGUGGAGGAAUACCGGUGGCGAAGGCGGCCCCCUGGACAAAGACUGACGCUCAGGUGCGAAAGCGUGGGGAGCAAACAGG
rnacentral:rRNA from 1 species